rnacentral:tRNA from 1 species
GUAGAUAUAGUGUUAAGCAAAACAUUAGACCGUGACUCUAACAUUAGGGGUUCAAACCCCCUUGUUUACC